GUUCCUACGGGACGCAGCAGUGGGGAGUAUUGGGCAAUGGGCGCAAGCCUGACCCAGCAACGCCGCGUGAAGGAAGAAGGCCCUCGGGUUGUAAACUUCUUUUGUCAGGGACGAAGAAAGUGACGGUACCUGACGAAUAAGCCACGGCUAACUACGUGCCAGCAGCCGCGGUAAUACGUAGGUGGCAAGCGUUAUCCGGAUUUACUGGGUGUAAAGGGCGUGUAGGCGGGAUUGCAAGUCAGAUGUGAAAUU
rnacentral:rRNA from 1 species